rnacentral:misc_RNA from 1 species
CCCGCCAUUGGCACCCCUGCCCGACCCGGAUCUGUAGUGCCUUCUUUCAUUUUUGCAUUGUAUAAUGAAAAUCAGAAACCAGGUCCUGGCACCGAGCGGCACUUUGGGUUGCUAUACCCUAACGGUUCAAAAGUGUUCGAGAUCGAUCUUAGUGGAGAAACACCUGAAUCGGAAUAUACAAAGCCGUUACCUGCACCGACAAAUAAUGAACCCUAUAAAGGAAAGGCAUGGUGCGUGGUGGCUGAAGGAGCGAAUAAGACUGCGCUGUUGGAUGCGAUAUCGUACGCAUGCUCGCAGGGGAACAAAACUUGCGAGCAGAUCCAGCCCGGAAACAGGUGUUAUAAACAGGAUUCUUUGAUUUGGCAGGCGAGCUACGCGUUUAGUUCGUAUUGGGCCCAGUUCAUGAAGGCGGGCGGGUCCUGUUAUUUCAACGGGUUAGCAACUCAGACCGCUAAAGAUCCGAGUUUCGGGAACUGCAAAUUUCCAAGUGUGACUCUUCAAGGCUGAAUUCAGCAAGUGAUUUGGGUGCCCAUUUUGCUAUAUUGUUGAGAGCUAAUAAAGUAUAUAAUUACUAAAAUGGGUGCCCAAAUCACUUAGCCUUUUUAGCAUAUGCUAUUUUAUGGCUUAUUCUGGAAGAGGCUAGAGAGAGGAUUUGCAACGGCUACAUGUAUUCACUAUUCAGCUUACUUAGUGUUUUUGAACACAACGGCUAAUUUAUUUUUUAUUUUAUAUUUUAUUAUCAUGUGUAAUGGUUCUCCAUUGGAUCUGACAGUAGCCUUUUUAGCUAUUUGGACCAGUCGUGGGUAUUUAUUCUAUGUUCUUAGAUUUUGCCCAAAAGACGGCAUUGUGGGCUUGAGAAAGAUAGAUCAAUUACCCGUGCUAGUAUAAAUGAAUGAUAAUUCCCAUCAA